UGACCAUGGAGCCUGUCAGGGGAUGACUCCCGGGAGCCCAGCUCUGUACGCUUUGUAGGGAUCCUGCCUUUUGAAGAGGUCUGUUUCUCACAGGACGAGAUUGAAUCUAGCUGUGAGAAGCUGGUGAGACAUAAGGCUCCAAAGGGUUGCAUGAUGGAGUUGUCCCCCUGUUGUAACCCUUGGCUCUGGAUGACCGUAUUAUUCAAGUUUAGUCUGGUGGCUGCUACGUGUCAGAGCCACAGGCUGGAACAAUCCUGCUGCGGGCCCAGGCAAGCCAGUGUUUCCACCUGGCCACUGAUGAAUCUCCCUGCUCCUUGGCUGCAGCACAUCCCUGGCACAGCUCCUCCCUCCCCAGAGCUGGGCUGGUGCAGGCAAAGCUCCUAGCUCCCACACGCUGCUGGAGCUCCCUGGCUCCCUGCGCUGGACCUGGCCUGCAGGCUGCAUGUUGCUGGCUCCUGGUGUAAGCUUUCCUGGUAGCUACUAGAGCUCCUGUACUGAACCUACUAACACCACAAGCUGCUCCUUCCCCAAACCUGGUGGGACAGAGCCCAGCAAGGGGCCAAGGCAGUUUCUGGCUUUAUGCUGCCCUUGUGCUGAUGGUUCAGCCUCCCACAGCCUGCAUCAUCUGCUUCAAGGAAUAACCCAGGAGCGGGACACUUUGGUGACUUGCCUCUUUGCCUCAGCUUUGCAAUUUUCUCCUUCCCAUUGCACAGCUGAGCCUGCUUUAGCCCUGACCCUGAACGUUAGACAGACACUCUGUCAACUUCCUCUCCAAUCCCGCCCCUCUUCCCCACACCUUUAGCCAAACUUGCAGGGUCAGGUUUAUUGCUCUGGUGUCCUGCUCUUUCUAUAUAAGAUACACACAAUAUAUAGUGAUCCAGAGCAGGACAGAGGGCAAAUAUCAGUGCCACUUUGGGCGCCUGUACACGUGCAGCAAGGCUGCUCCAAUACACUAUAUUUACAGCACAUUGGAGCAGACUCGAUUAAUCGUGUCUACUUAAGCAUGGUAAUUACCAUGCUCUAGCAGACUCCAGUAUCGUGUAUCUGUUUCUUCAUGCUGAAAAACGGUGGGGGGUGCUCUAGCUAACGCUCACUGGGCGAGCUUUAGUUAAAGCACCCCUGCCUCCAUUUUUCAGCAUGGGGAUGCUGAUACACAUGAAGCUCUGGGCACUUUAAUUAGAGCAGCUCUCGGAGCCACUCUUAUUAAAGAGCCCCCCUGCCACCCGCAGUCCCAGAGCACGUCUAUGGACGCCCCUGGUUCUGGCUUCUGCCUUUCAGUCUCUUGCAGGCUCUUCCCCAGGCUCCAAGACCCUCCAGCAGGAGCAAAGGGUGCCAAGAUCCAGCUGAGGGGGCCUGUUUGCACCACACAGGUCUGCAGCCCAUGCAGGCAGCCCUGGGCCUUGGACCGGUAAGACAAGCACAACCUGCUAUAGCAGAAGAGCCCCUCAGGUUCGGGCUUUUAGGAAAGGCACUCACCUCCAUGGCAGGACCCAUUUCCUUCUCCAGGGCUAGUGGGGACACUUCAGUCCUGCCAGGGAGAAGCAGAUUUUUUCAGAGCUGCUGCUUCUUCUAGCAUGUGGCUCUUGGCCUCAAAAUACUGCCCUUCACUGCAUUGCCAAGAGCUUCUCACCACUUGUCUGUAGCCAGCAGCUCUCACGGGGCAUCAAUACACCAAAACUCACCUGGAUAAGGUUCAAAGCAGCCCACUUUUGCCAUGAAUUUGGUGGGACCCUAACAAUUCCUGAAUGAACCCUCUCCUUGAGGGAGCAAACUUCUCCAAGAGAGAAACCAGCAUUUGUCUCACAUAAUAUUUCCACGUAUAUGAGACCCACAAGUAGGUGGCAUGUGGCAUACUCUGGAAAGAGUUUGAGCUGCCUUUAACCCAGAGGAAGGAUAUCAGAGAACCUCUGGCAGGCGAAAUACCACGGUCUUCCUAUUUAGCAAAGAAGCAGGACAGUCCUUCUCUGCCAGGGCAAUCUUUCCUACACCAAAUAUCAGCAACAAAGAUGGGCUUAACUUAAAUACCCACAAAGUUUAGAGGGAAACAGUUCAGGGUAGGUAUAACGGGCAUGGGCAGGAUAAGGACAGAAACAUAAAAAUCAGCACAGCCGCCAGUCAGCGAUAAGAAACAACCCACCCCACAGACGGAGAAACCAGAGCCACAACUCCAGCCCAGCUCUCGCCGCACCUGAUCUCUGCUCAGUAGCACCAGCCCCAGCCCCAAAACACCUGAGAAGACGUCAGUCCAGGGGCUCACAUGAGAUAACUCUGCAGCGCAGUCGACAAGAGGCACUCUCUGCCCUGGCCACUGGGACAGGAGGUGAGUGGAGCAAGGUGGCCUGGGAAGGGGCAGGAUUAGGAGAGUCCCUGAGGCUAAUGCAACCAAUCCCAUGUCCUUGUAACAUCUCUCCUUCCUGUAACACUGUUUAUUUGUUCCUCACUGUGUGUUUGGUUUACCUGGGUCUCAAAUGGGGACUAUUUCCUCAAGUGGAGGGAGCGUGGAGGAGGGAGGUGAGCACCGCGUCCUCUGGAGCAGGGAUCUGCGCUGCCAGCCUCACCGCCCUUUGUUGGGAGCUGGCUGAUGUCACAAUGCUGCCCGGCUGCCCUGGUGCCCACUGGGACCUGGAGUGCCCAGGCGAGGGCAGCAGGCCUGGUGAGCUCCUGGCAGUCUCCUUUCUUUAGUCUGCUUGUUUUCAGGACUGAUGGAUCCGUCUGGGCACACGGUGCCCCCAACCGAGUGUGAAUCUGUGGGGCAGCCUCUGGGUCCAUUUGCAGCCCUUUGGCUGCUCCCUCUGUGGCCAUGAUCCCUCCCUGCCCGCACGGCCCGAGGACUGGAAAGCGCUGGCCCAUGGGGCAGCCCUGGCUGAGAGACUUCAGGAUUUGUUGUGCUCUUGGGCUAAACUGUGCAGAAGCAGUCAUUUUUUCCACUGCUGGGACCCAAGUGCAGUGAAUCAACUGAUUUUCCUUUGGACAAAUCUGCUGGAAAUCGCCUGUUUUAAAGUCGGGCCAAUUUACUCGGGAUCAGAAGCUUGUCCUUUGCACCUCUCUGCUCGAAUGAGGAUCAUGGCAACAUGGAAGUACCUGAAAUCUCAGCUGGAGGAGAAGAUGCAGACGGAGAAGUCGCCGACCGCUUAUCCCUGACAUAUCCCUGCCCUGCGUUCCCGUUGAGUCGUACACCAACGACUCUCAACUCGAGAGCUCCGGUUCAAGAGCUCUUCGUCCAGUUUCUUCUUCUGUUUUUUGUUUGCAACUGUAACUCAAGUGAAGUUGACUUUCUGCCUACGCUGUGUCCAUCAACAGUGUAAGUAAAGCAUUCUUUGUUCAACCGCUACGAGUCCGUGCCUAAUUCUACUCCGUCGUGAAAAAGUACCCACCUGCCGGUUCGGGCUACUGGCCAUAGCCCCGAGCCUUACCGCUCGACCCGCACAGUCAACUGACUGGGCAUGCAAGACAAUCACCAGCUUCCUGAAAACCAGUAAUGAAGGUGUUUGGUUAUCUUGGAUUUGGAACAUAACCCA